CUUUACUUUUCAUCUAGUUAUUAACUUCUUCUUAUUUUUCUUUCACACUGUCUAUGUAAAGCCCCCCGGAAAACGUCCCAGUUCAACGAAUCUAUAUCUAGGGGUGUGAGAAUCCUUGUUAAAUGACAUCUGAAUCAAAACUCUGUGGUGAAAGAAUGAUUAGUUCCUUCACUCUCCCCAGAGUCAUUAUUCACACUGGAGCUUCUCUUUGUUCAAACUUAGAUUAUUAAAAAGUUUAUCUGCUGCGGAUAAGAUGAUAACUCCUCGUGUUUGGUCAGCUUUGUCUGAAAUUGAUAAAAUGAAACUUUGCUGAAAUACGUUAAGGACCAAAUUACCUAAGAUCCCUCAUAAAAUAAAAAGUUGGUCACUGGCAAAAUGGUCCCACAUACUCACUGGAGAGUCCUAAAUAUAACUAAAUACAUGACAACCAGGAAUAACAAACCAGGUUUAGCAAUGUAUGAGUUUCUGUUGCGUAAA